rnacentral:rRNA from 1 species
UCAGGAUGAACGCUGGCGGCGUGCCUAACACAUGCAAGUCGAACGGAGAUUAACGCUGAUGAAGCUCGGCAGAUCUGUUAAAUCUAGUGGCGGACGGGUGAGUAACGCGUGGGGAACCUGCCCUGUACCGGGGGAUAACAGAGGGAAGCUUCUGCUAAUACCGCAUAAGCGCACAGUGCCGCAUGGCGCAGUGUGAAAAAACUCCGGUGGUACAGGAUGGCUCCGCGUUGGAUUAGCCAGUUGGCGGGGUAACGGCCCACCAAAGCGACGAUCCAUAGCCGGCCUGAGAGGGUGGACGGCCACAUUGGGACUGAGACACGGCCCAGGCUCCUACGGGAGGCAGCAGUGGGGAAUAUUGCACAAUGGGGGGAACCCUGAUGCAAGCGACGCCGCGUGAAGGAAGAAGUAUCUCGGUAUGUAAACUUCUAUCAGCAGGGAAGAUAAUGACGGUACCUGACUAAGAAGCCCCGGCUAACUACGUGCCAGCAGCCGC